AUUAAAUUGAAUAUAAUUUUAAUUAUCGUAUUAACUCUUUAUUAAUCUAAUAUGUAUUUCGACUAAUCUAAUUAUUUUAUUAACUAAUUAUCUUACUAUUAAAUAACUAACUAAUUGAUUUAUUAAUUAAUUAAAUUACUUGUGGGUAAUUAAAUUAUUAAUUAACGGUAUUAAUUAAUAUUUAGGAUUAUUUAUCGGUAUUCAUGAUUAAUUAGUUAAUUAAAUAACUUAAAUUAUUAUUUAAUUAGUAUUUUAACGUUAAUUAAUUAGAUAAAAUAUUAUUAUUUUAAAAUUAUAAUUAGUCUUAUUCUCACUAUUCCAAUCUAAUUAACUAUCCAAAUACUAUUUUUCAUAUUCCUAGCUAGAAACAAUUUAAUUUUUCAUUCAAACAAAAAAUUGGUUUUGUUCCGUUUAUUCCAAAAAUUAUACCUAUCUUAGGAAUAAGUAAGAAUUGCUUAUUUUCGAACCGAACGGUAUCUUUAAAAAAUUAUAUUUAAGUAUUUAUAAACUUAAUUUUAAAUG
rnacentral:lncRNA from 1 species